AUUGAACGCUGGCGGCAUGCCUUACACAUGCAAGUCGAACGGCAGCACGGGUGCUUGCACCUGGUGGCGAGUGGCGAACGGGUGAGUAAUAUAUCGGAACGUACCUUAUCGUGGGGGAUAACGCAGCGAAAGCUGUGCUAAUACCGCAUACGCCCUAAGGGGGAAAGCAGGGGACCGUAAGGCCUUGCGCGACGAGAGCGGCCGAUACCUGAUUAGCUAGUGGAUGAGGUAAAGGCUCACCAAGGCAACGAUCAAUAGCUGGUCUGAGAGGACGAUCAGGCACGCGGGGACUGAGACACGGCCCAGACUCCUACGGGAGGCAGCAGUGGGGAAUUUUGGACAAUGGGUGCAACCCUGAUCCAGCAAUGCCGCGUGAGUGAAGAAGGCCGUCGGGUUGUAAAGCUCUUUUGUCAGGGAAGAAACAGCAGCUCUAACACAGUAUGCGAAUGACGGUACCUGAAGAAUAAGCACCGGCUAACUACGUGCCAGCAGCCGCCGUAA
rnacentral:rRNA from 1 species